UGUUUUAUUUCAGAUUCUGGUAGAAGUCGUGGCUAUGAUCUUUACACUAUUAUUAUAUUUCAGGACCCGAUAGAAGUCGUUUGUAUAAUCUCUACUUUUUUGUUUUAUUUUAGGUUCCGGUAGAAGUCGUGGUUACGAUCUCUACUCUUUUGCUAUACUUUAUGGAUCCCAUUGAGCAAGCCAGUUUAUGGCUGAUAUGUCCGACCUGUACAUUAGCUGUUAUGGUAUGGUCAUUUACGAACAUUAUCCCAGAUUUACAACGCACAAUUAGUGAUGGCGUACUUGAAAACAAAGGGCACCAGUGGAUCAUAACAACUGUUGAUUCGAUCAUGAAACGACAUUACCUUCGAACCGCUUUGUCCUUAGUGGUACACUUGACGGUAUUGUUACUUUCUUGUUAGGAACAAUAAACUUGUUUUGUGUGCAUAUUGUAUGAGGUAUUGAUUUAAAACAAGUUUUCAAUCAUUUCUAUACAAGUAGCCAAACUGUAAUGGCCUCAGUGGGACAUAUGUAAGUGAAAAAUGUGUUUGUAUAGUUAUCUUUAAACUGUUGUGGAAGUUUUACUCGCACUUGUACAGAUGUGGGUUUUUUUCAGUGAUUUAUGUGUGAAAUGUUCAUAUUCGGAAACAAGACAUACUAUGAUUAAAACAAAGAUAUACAAAAUAUAUUACAAGAAAACUUAUAUACAAACCUAAAA
rnacentral:lncRNA from 1 species